AUGGAUCGGGUGCUACAGACCCCGAUCACCCCUGCCAGUCCCAGCGACCCCUUACAGCAGAAGCAAGAGCCACGGGGGGAGAUGAAUUAUUCCAAAUGGCAAUGCGGAGGAGGAAGGAAUAAGGGUGAGCAGGGGGAAACUAUGCAAGAGUGUCCACCUGCCUUCCAGCGAAGGCAGCGGCAACAGCAGCAAUGUGGGUCAGAAGCAGAGCAUGAGGAUUUUAAGGGCAAAAUGGCAGAGCGGCCCAGGGAUUUAAACCCAGACAGCCAAGCUGGAGCCCAGGGAGGAAAGGACCAAAGAGAGACCAGCCAUCAGCCUGGGACAGGUUUCCAUAGAAAAUUGGACCAAAAUCUACCCCAAAGGAAGACAUCACCAACAACAACCCCACCAGCACCAGUAGUGACAACAGCCCUCUCUGGGGGACCACCUGGCCAGAUCUGCCAGUUUCCACCAAGGAUCCACAACUUCAGGAGGCACCAAAUGGUGACUCCCAUGAUGGCCACCGAGAUGGCAGAGAUUCGCCGCCUGGCUAUCCAGCUGGCACAAGAGUCAGCGACUCAACUGCAGCACCACCUGGACCAGCACAAUGCACACAUGGCAGCCCUAGUUCAGGUGGCCCGAGACAGUUAUGCCCAGCGCCAAGAAGUGGCGGCUCUCUUGCAAGAUGUUGCAGAUGAUAUUCAUGAGGGGUUGGCCCUACUGAGGUCUUCUGUUGGCCGCCUAGGUCAGGAAUAAGACCUUCAGAUAUCAAGCUCUCUUCCUCCCCUCCAGCCUCUGGUAUAACUGGCAUCCCAAGGAGUUUAGGAGUAAUGAUCUUUUUUUUUUUCUGCAAGGACUAUUUAGGGGUUUUGUGUUUGUGUUUGGUUUUGGAUUUUUCCGGAUGGUUACCUUAAAAGUGAACAAACCUUCUUUCAGGAGAAAGUCACUAGAUAGGCUGUGGGGAAUAGCAGAGGGAAAAGGAGUUAGAAGGCUUGGGGACCAAGAGUCAGGUUAUGAAAUCAAAAGGUUUCAGGGGGAAUUUUUUCAACAUUUCUUUUUGUUUUGGUUGUCCUCAGUCCAAGGAGACAAAAAAAAAAGGACAAGUCUCUAUUAGACUGGAGAUCAGGGAUGAAUUACUAAGCACUAGAGAGACUUGACUCAGGUGAUACCAUCAGAAAGAUGUUCCAUAUUGGAUGUCUACCAGCACUUUCUCUCUUAACUCAACCCACCCUCCAAGCUGGACUGCUUUCUAGAAAACAAACAAACAAACAAACAAACAAACAAACCAAAAAAAAACCCUACACUCGCUGACAAGCAAGAGAUGUGGAGUUAAUCUAUAUGACCUUGGAUAAGUCAUCAGCUCUCUCUGGGAUUCAUACGUUUUACCUGUAAAAAAGAGAGUAGUAGCAGACAGUCUCUAAGAUCUAUCAGACCUGGAGCUUUGGAUCAUGCUAAACUUGGAUCAGCUAGAUGGUGCAGUGGAUAGAGUAUUGGGUCUGAAGUCAGGAACUGUGAGUUCAAAUCUGACACUCCAAAGCGUUGUGAGCUUGGGCAAGUUACUUCAUCCUGUUUGCAUUAUUUUUCUUAUCUGUAAAAUGAGCUGGAGAAGGAAAUGGCAAACCACUCUAGGAUCUUUGCCAACAAAACUCUAAAUAGGGUCAUGAAUAUUUGACAGGACUGAAAUGACUUAACAACAAAGGGGAAGACGAAAUCAAAGGAAAAAGUUAAAGCACUGGUUGUUUUUCAUUGUGGUGGUUACAAUAACUAUAGACUAAUUUCAUCCACUUAAAAAUGGCUUACCUCUUCUUUUUUUUUUCAGUUUCCCAGGAGAUCUCAGAUCAUCUCUCUCUCUGUCUGUCUCUCUCUGUCUUGCUCUGUCUCUCUCAUCAUCAUCAUCAUCAUCAUCAUAUCAUCAUCAUCAUCAUCACUUACACCAACAAUCCCUAUGUACAUUUUAGGAAGGAGAACUGUCUGUCUAGGAGCUUGGGGCAUCAGUGGAAAAUGAAAACAGAAAAGGAAACAUUCAAUUGGAAAGCACUACAUGAGGUCUCAAAGAAAUAGGGAAUUGGAUUAUCUGUAUACGGUCCUUCAUUUAUGCCAAAGUUUACCAAUGGGUAAGACCAAAUUUCUUUGACUGCCUGUGAACAUCACUUGUCUUUCUCCUAGCUCCUGACUUCCACCAAUCUUUGUACAAAGGCUCUUCUCCCUUCCAAAAUGCCACAGAGCUGCUCCGACUCUGAAGUGCCAGGUGAAUUGAUCCCAAGGAUGAAACAAUGACCAACAAUGUAACAUACAGGAGGGAGUUUAUUAAACAAACUGCAGCUUGGGCUCAACACUAACAUGGCUUGAGCCCUGAGUCUGGGGCUUGAAGGUCCUUUUAUACAGUGGAGUAACCAGGAACAUUUGUGGUAGGGGGAGUGCACAGGAAUUUCUGGAGUGGGGGGAGUGAACAGGAACUUGACAGGAACUUCUGGAGCUGAGGUCAUUAUUGGCUCCUGGCACAUGCCAGGAGGGGGAGUGACAGGUCUAUGGGUGAGGGGGACAGGGAGGGGAGAAAGUAGGUUCGGGUUCUGGUUCUUCAUUCUCCACUUCUGCUGUACAUGAGGAAUCUUCCCAAUGUGACCCUAUCAUCAUAAGGGGAUUCUGUAGGAGUCAGAGUUUGAUAAUGCUGGCAAAGGACUAUUAGCUGGACGGUCUUAAUGUGAUCCUUGACAAAGUCUACUAGGUGAUUAAGAAUGUAGCAGCCAAAGGUUAAAAGGAGAAGGAGGAGGAUCAGGGGACCUAAUAACUUAGGUAUGAGGGUUGUCAGCCAGGGAGAGUGGUGAAAAAGUUGUUUAUACCACUAUUCUUGUGACUCCCGCUCUUUUCAAUGUUUGGCAAGUCCCUCUCUGAGUUUGGACAUAGACUCCUUAAUUAGCCCCAUAUGAUCAGCAGAAAAGCAACAUUACUCUUUUAAGGCCGCGCAGAGGCCACAUUGAUGCAGAAAAAGGAGGUCCUGGCCUCUCCCAUUUUGGAGUGCCACCUCCGAUAGGGAGGUAAGAGAUUUUUCAAGGUGGGUGAUAGAAGCCCCAAUCCUAGGUGAGACCCUUAUCUACUGCUGCUCUAAGUGCUGCCAGACCCUGGUGGUGUAGGGUGAGGGAAGCUAUCCCUGUCCCAACUCCUGCCCGGCCAAAGAAAGCAGCCAAUGUUAUGGCCGUAAUGGGUUCUCUUUUCAUUCAAUCAGGGGUUUGGUUAUCUGACUGGGGUCUGCCUAGAGACAUAGGGAAUGACCCUCAUAAAAGAUUCUUUGGUUUUAAGGAACAGACAGAUGUCUAAGAUAUAGCCUGAUAGAAUCGAGGUAUAGCCUGGAGGUGCAUCUCUCUGUCCAUCUUAAAUCUAAAGGAGGCAUUGGAUGUUUUAGGCUAGGAGUCAUGAAGAUGUAAGGGAGCAAAGGAAUUUCCCUAAUAAUAGUUUGCCUGAGUUUCUGGGGGUACAAUGCCCAUGUCAUCUCUCCCAUCUCCAAAUAUGUAAGGGAACGGGGAUGAUGGUCUUAGUAUUCUGUAGCUUCUUCAGAGCUGAGAAUGGUUGUAGAGCUGUCCCUGCCUAUUGUCAGUAAAGAGAGUGGUAUUGAGUGUAGGCAAUGUCCAGGGCUUCAAGCUGGGAUGGUUGCCAAGGUUACAGUGGCAUCUGGGUGAUUCCCAUGAGUGCUUUUACCCUAGAAGCAACUAGAGAAGUAACAAGGUUACAAAUUCAAGGUCCACAUAUCCCAUAGGGGAGUAGCCAAAACUUGAGUGGAUGAGAAUCUUCUUGAAGCCUUCGUUUGGGUAAGCCUCUGAGGCACUGAGACCAGAGGCUAGACAUCUCAUGUUCUCUCUGCUUUGGGGAAGCUUUAUACACACCCAACAGUCAGAGGGACCUGCUUUGGCUACUGUUUCCCCAAGCUGAAUCAGAGAAUUAUCUGUCCAGCUGGCUGGGCAUGCAUGAUAUAAAACAAAGAAGACUCAGAAUGUAAGGAAAGAAAUGGUUAUGGGUCAGGUAGUUAAAAGCUAAAGUAAAAGGGGUUAAGAUAACAGGGAGGGAAAGGCUGUAGGCACAGAGUCUUUAGGUGCAUGUCCUCAGUGAAUGCCUGGAUCCUAGGUGGGUGGGGACCUGCUUGGAGAUCUGAAGGAUGUCUAGCAAGUGCUUCCCCCAAUUGGCAGACAGGUCACAAGGAAGAGAGUCAGCCCCUAAGAUAGAAGUGUAGAAACCAGGACUGGGGCAAAAACUAGAGCAACAGAUAGAAACAGAGAAAAUUAGUACAAUAGAAAUUGAUAUUAAACAUUUGCAUUUGAGUAUCUUAGCCAACAGACUCCAUUCUUCAGAAAUCAUCUUCUGACAGGAAUAGAUCCCUUUAGGAAAUCGGAUUCCUGAGUUGUUUGCAGAGUUGGUAUGUGACAUUUCUGUUAAAGAAUAUCCUUUUGCAAAGUACACAUUAAUAUGGCACCUAUAAACACUUGAGUAACAAUAUUUUACAGAUGAAUUUCUUUUAUUCCAGAUUCUGGGGAAAAUUUGGAAAGUUUUGAGUUCUAUUUCCAAGCUCAAGAUCCAAACUUCAAUUGUGGUAAAUUAAGGCUGCAAAUACAAACCAUCUAUUAAUAAACUUCACCUGCUUCUCA
ensembl:lncRNA